UACGUAGGGUGCGAGCGUUAAUCGGAAUUACUGGGCGUAAAGCGCGCGCAGGCGGUUUGUUAAGUCAGAUGUGAAAUCCCCGGGCUUAACCUGGGAACGGCGUUUGAAACUGGCAAGCUAGAGUAUGGUAGAGGGGGGUAGAAUUCCAGGUGUAGCAGUGAAAUGCGUAGAGAUCUGGAGGAAUACCGGUGGCGAAGGCAGCCCCCUGGAAGAAGACUGACGCUCAGGCGCGAAAGCGUGGGGAGCAAACAGG
rnacentral:rRNA from 1 species